rnacentral:misc_RNA from 1 species
AUGCGAUAAGUAGUGUGAAUUGCAGAAUUCAGUGAAUCAUCGAAUCUUUGAACGCACAUUGCGCCCUUUGGUAUUCCUUAGGGCAUGCCUGUUCGAGCGUCAUUUGAAACCUCAAGCUCAGCUUGGUGUUGGGUGUCUGUCCCCGCCUCCGCGGGGACUCGCCUCAAAAUCAUUGGCGGCCGGUACGUUGGCUUCGAGCGCAGCAGAAACGCGAACUCGAGGCCCGGCGGAUCGGCGACCAGAAGCCUCAUUCUUCACAGUUUGACCUCGGAUCAGGUAGGGAUACCCGCUGAACUUAA